ensembl:snRNA U6 U6 spliceosomal RNA
CUGCUCGCUUCGGCAGCACAUAUACUAAAAUUGGCACGAUACAGAGAUUAGCAUGGCCCCUGAGCAAGGAUGACACGCAAAUUCAUGAAGUGUUUCAUAUUUUU